GCAGGGAUGUGCGAGUGGUUAAGAAGUUUGACCCGAAAUCAGAUGGGCUCUGCCAGCGUAGCUUCGAAUCCUGCUCGCUGCG
rfam:Toxocara canis scaffold1020, whole genome shotgun sequence.